rnacentral:rRNA from 1 species
UACGUAGGGUGCAAGCGUUGUCCGGAAUUAUUGGGCGUAAAGAGCGUGUAGGCGGCCCCAUUAGUCCGCUGUGAAAGUCCAGGGCUCAACCCUGGGAUGCCGACCGAUACUGUCGGACUAGAGUUCGGAAGAGGCGAGUGGAAUUCCCGGUGUAGCGGUGAAAUGCGCAGAUAUCGGGAGGAACACCUAUGGCGAAGGCAGCUCGCUGGGACGUUACUGACGCUGGAGACGCGAAAGCGUGGGGAGCAAACAGG